UCCCUGGUGGCUCAGAUGGUAAAGUAUCUGCCUGCAGUGUGGGAGACCUGGGUUCAAUCCCCAGGUUGGGAA
rnacentral:tRNA from 1 species